rnacentral:lncRNA from 1 species
UUUUUUUUUUUUUUUUUUUCUUUUCUUUUUUUUUUAGGGUGGGAGGUGCGGGCAUGUCAGAAAACUCUGUAUAGGAACUAUGCAGUAUUCCGCCGAUAACUAAUAUAUAAGUAUUACUUCUCGCAUCUGGGAUUAUGAAUUUAACUUGACAUAAGAAAUAUAACAUUACUGAAUUUUGUAAUGAUAGUGAUGCGACAAAUACUUUAAAAAAUGCGUUUAGUUGUAAUUUUCCUGCUCCAUUUUCCGGGAGCACGAGUGCGGC